rnacentral:rRNA from 1 species
ACGGGAAUUUUGGGCAAUGGGCGAAAGCCUGACCCAGCAACGCCGCGUGAGGGAUGAAGUAUUUCGGUAUGUAAACCUCGAAAGAAUGGGAAGAAUAAAUGACGGUACCAUUUAUAAGCUCCGGCUAACUACGUGCCAGCAGCCGCGGUAAUACGUAGGGAGCAAGCGUUGUUCGGAUUUACUGGGCGUAAAGGGCGCGUAGGCGGCGCGGUAAGUCACUUGUGAAAUCUCUGAGCUUAACUCAGAACGGCCAAGUGAUACUGCUGUGCUAGAGUGCGGAAGAGGCAACCGGAAUGCUUGGUUUAGCGGUGAAAUGCGUAGAUAUCAAGAGGAACACCUGAGGCGAAGGCGGGUUGCUGAGCCGACACUGACGCUGAUGCGCGAAAGCCAGGGGAGCAAACG